rnacentral:lncRNA from 1 species
UUCCUUCAGGGUAUAUUACUUUCCAAAUACAUAAACUACCAUCUAUUCCAGUAGAUAUCAAGAACUGCUCAUUAUAAGGAAGGACAAUCUGUAAAAUAUACACAGAGUGAAUGUGAAAAGUUAUGUACUGUACUGGAUCUUGAAGUGGACAUACUACUGAUAAAAUAAUACCACCAGGACAAAUAAGAAACAAAGCUUGAUCUUCUUUUCCUAAUAGCAUGCAAUACAUGUUUGCAUCUGGAAUAUUAUGUUGUCUCGUCUAACAUGGAUAAUAUACUAAAUUAUCUUUUGCUUCUCUGUUCAUAAAAUUGUAGAAAAAAUAAAUUAUGUAUUACCGUA